UCCCGUUUAGCUCAGUUGGUAGAGCGCCUCACUAGUAAUGACGAGGUCAGUCGUUCAAGUCGGCUAAUGGGAA